rnacentral:circRNA from 1 species
GCCCAGCUACUCCAGACUUCUAUGCUUUGGUGGCCCAGCGGCUGGAACAGCUGGUCCAAGAGCAGCUGAAAUCUCCGCCCAGCCCAGGUGAGGCACAGAGGAGCCCCAGAGAAGGAUGGCGGUGGGAGGAUAGUCAGGGUUCUGCCCCCAGCCAAAUUCUCUUCUGCCUCCAGAAUUACAGGGUCCCCCAUCGACAGAGAAGGAAGCCAUACUGCGGAGGCUGGUGGCCCUGCUGGAGGAGGAGGCAGAAGUCAUUAACCAGAAG